rnacentral:rRNA from 1 species
GACGAACGCUGGCGGCGUGCUUAACACAUGCAAGUCGAACGGAAAGGCCCCUUUGGGGGUACUCGAGUGGCGAACGGGUGAGUAACACGUGAGUAACCUGCCCUUGACUUCGGGAUAACUUCAGGAAACUGGGGCUAAUACCGGAUAGGAAUCCUUGCUGCAUGGUGGGGGUUGUUAAGCUUCGGCGGUUUUGGAUGGACUCGCGGCUUAUCAGCUUGUUGGUGGGGUAGUGGCUUACCAAGGCUUUGACGGGUAGCCGGCCUGAGAGGGCGACCGGCCACAUUGGGACUGAGAGACGGCCCAGACGCCUAAGGGAGGCAGCAGGGGGGAAGAUUGAACAAUGGGCGGAAGCCGGAUGAAGAAAGGCCGCGUGCGGGAUGACGGCCUUAGGGUUGUAAAACGCUUUCAGCAGGGGAGAAGCUUGUGGUGACGGUACCAGCAGAAGAAGCACCGGCUAACUACGUG